CGCUUUCCCUUUCCCUCACCAUCGAUUGUGCCAAGGUGGCAGCACUGUGAUCGGGCCUUCCUAAUAAAACUGCACUUCACUGUUCGGCCAUCUCAAUUCCGGCAGGUAAUCACACCUUUAUUUGCAAAGUCUGCGAGUGAAAAGCUUCGAGUCUCGCGAGAUCGCCGGCUGCUGGGAGUUUGGAAGAAGGCUACCAUCAUGGCGGACAGAGACAGUGGAAGCGAGCAAGGGGCGGCCAGCUCCAGCUUGCAACAGCUGCAGCAGGAGACGCAGGAACUGGCUUCCAAGAGGGUGGACAUUCAGAAUAAGCGCUUCUACCUAGACGUGAAGCAGAAUGUGAAAGGCCGUUUCCUGAAGAUAGCGGAGGUGGGAGCGGGCGGCAAUAAAAGUCGUCUAACUCUCUCCAUGUCUGUUGCUGUGGAGUUCCGCGACUACCUGGGCGAUUUCAUCGAACAUUACGCGCAGCUCGGCCCAAGCAACCCGGACAUGCAGACGGACGAGCCGAGGAGAGCUCUGAAAAGUGAAUUCUUGGUGCGGGAAAACCGCAAAUAUUACAUGGAUUUAAAAGAGAACCAACGGGGCCGGUUCCUACGGAUUCGCCAGACCGUGAACCGGGGACAUGGCCUUGGCUCGCAGGGUCAAACUAUCGCCCUCCCCGCUCAGGGGCUGAUUGAAUUCCGCGAUGCACUCGCUAAGCUAAUCGACGAUUAUGGCAUCGAAGAGGAACCCACUGAGCUGCCCGAAGGGACAUCGCUCACCGUGGACAACAAGCGAUUUUUCUUUGACGUUGGGUCAAACAAGUAUGGCGUUUUUAUGAGAGUAAGUGAGGUGAAACCAUCGUACCGCAAUUCUAUCACGAUACCCUAUAAAGUGUGGGCCAAGUUUGGAAAUACUUUCAGUAAAUACGCAGAGGAAAUGAAGAAAAUACAGGAGAAACAACGGGAGAAAAGGUCUGAACAGCAAGAAGAAGCUCCCGGAGAUGAUGUGGAGGAAGACUGAUAUAACUGUAAUUAAAAACUCUUCCUGUAAAACUGUAACUGUUUAACUCCGAGGGAGCACCACCCACCAAACCUCCACAACUGACAGUUCGACUUGUCACCCAUCGCUGGAUGUUCGUCCACUUAUCAACCGUGUAAACCGUCUGGACUGAAGACAGACUCCUGGACCAACUGAUUGGCCUCUGGACAUCAACAAGCCUACCAUCUGCUAGCCUAAGAAGUGCACCUCCAUUAACUAGGUUUUUGAGAAUUCCUGGAAAGGAUGACCAGUAUUUCCAAAUUGUCAGAUUUGCUACUCCAAACGAUGUUUUACAUUUUUUUUAAAUUUCCAAUUUUUCGAGUUGACCACCUGAGAAUUUGUCCACAGGGAUUUUAUUUCUCAUUGUAAACUGCAUUCAUUGACGAAAAUGAAAUAUUUAUUUAAAAGAUUGUCAUUUCUUGGCUAUUAUAAUACCAUUGAAUCUACUUUCCUUAAUUGCCUUAUCCAACUGUUCCCUUGGAGUUAUGCAAUUGGCGGUAAGUUUAAAGACUUAAUAUUUAUAUUUAUGAUGGGAUACAUCACUCAAGAUUAAUUAAAUUCUGUCAAAUAAGAUCACAGAACUGGAGGAUUCUUUAUUAAGAUACUUUUUUGCUGUCCGUCAUCUUAAGAUCUAAAAUUUAUUGAUUAAUUCUACAAUAUACUCUUUCAAAAAAAAUGACAGAUAUUGUAGAUCUGUUUACUCUCUUAAUCCUCAGGGUUAUUAAAAUAAGCACAUUUUUAUAGCUUAGAACCAUGUUGGGAAAGUAUAAGGUUACAACAAUUGCGGGUAUAAAAAAUAUUUAUUUCAAUCUAGGUUAAAUGAGAAAUCCCUCAAUUUGUCUGUGAAGAUCUGAUGUGAAAUAAAUCUGAGCGAUUAUAACCCAAUUUCUAGUUAAGGACUGAGUGGCUUAUAUAUGCAAUCUGCUGACCAAUUUAACAUCCAUCUACUUGUCUGAAAAUGCUGCUGGAUGUCCAAAAUGAAAUGUUUCAUUAUAUAGAAUAGAUCAUUUUUUAAUUUGUGGUCUCCAGAACUCACAAAAAGCAGCAUUUUCAAAAUGUUAAGAGUAUCCACAAAACUGGAUGAAUAACUAUAAAAUAUUACCUUAAGAUUAAUUAAUCAUUCCUAAUAAUUUUAAAGACGGGUGCAUGGACUACACCUUUUUACUUUCCACUGUAGGCGGCACAGUAGUACAGCUGGUGGAACUGCUGCCUCAGCACCAGGAGCCCUGGUUCAAUCCUCUCCUCGGUUGCUGUCUCUGUGGAUUUUACAUGUUCUCCCUGUGACCACAUGGGCUUCCUGUGUCCUCCACGUUCCUCCCACCUCCAAAGAUGGAUGGAUUUGUACGUCAACUGGCCUCUGUAAAUUGUUCCCAGUGUAGGGGUGGAUGAGAAAGUGGGCUAACAGAGAACCAACAUGAAUGGGCAAUCAAUGAUCAGGAUGAACUUGGUGAGUGAAGGACCCGUUUCCAAGCUGUAUCUCUCUAAACGUUCCACCUUAGUUCACUUCCUGCUAAUGUCCUUUGCAUUUUCAAUGUGUUUUGUCUAGAUUUAGGACCUAUUACACCGAUUGAUCUCAUCUUGAUGAAUUCCAUCACUCUUCCCUGAAAGACCCUGCAAAAUAAGAUGAACUAACCCCUCAUUGCACAGUACUCUCUCUGUUCAUUGCUUGGCUCCUCAUGGUAUUGGUUUAAAAAAACACCUUGUUUGCACUCUUGGAACUCUUCUUCCACAGUGUUAUUAUUAAUUUGGUUGACCAGUCUGUGGAUUUAAAUCAUUCGUAAGUACAUUCGUAUCCAUGUUGCAUGCAUCUUUACUGUUCAUUUUUGUCACUAAAGCUGAAGAAAGUUGUAUUGACUGGAAAGCAGGCCAAAAUGAUUCCAUAGAGGUUAAAUUAUGAAAAUGUUUUUGUAUACAUUCCCUGGAAAUUAGAAAAUUGAGAGAUGGUCAAAAUAACCUAUUUAAUAUGUUUAAUAUAGAGAACUUGCUUCCUCAGAUGAGGGUUUCCAGAAACAACACAGCAUCAUAAUAUAGCUAAGAAACAUUAGGGAUUGGAGUGAAAGGGUGCUAGAAAUUUGGAAAUUGCUCUUCCACUCUGGUUGAUUUGUAAAAAAGUGAGUCAUUUUGAAAGUAUUUAGUUUGUAAGUGAAGAAUACCAAGGGAUUAUCAAAUAUCCCCAUAUGAAUCAAAUUGCAAAUCAAUCAUGAAUUGAAUAGUUGAACACAUUUGAGGGGCUGAAGGAACUCCUGUUUCAUUGAUAUUACACCUAUUAUGGAAUGCCAAAAAAUAAACUGAGGAGGUUUAGACCUUUUAAUUAUGUAAACUUCAAGUGAAAGUCACAAGAGUUACUGCAUGCAACGCCUGUAGUGAUUACUGUUGAUUUUAAAAUUUGAGAGAAUAUUAUGUAGAAUUAGCAUGUUUUGAUUGGCCAGUGAUAUAAAUAAUGCAUUGUACAUAAACCAAUGGGAACUCUGAUCUGGUUUCUACAUAUUUGAACUGGAGUAUGCUGAAUGCCCUUGCACUGUAUAUUUUUUGAUUGCUUACAAUUUGCUUGACAUAAAAUGAAAAUUGAUGUUUUAGUGACAAAAUA